GCCAGGAUAGCACAAUUGGUAGUGCGACUGUUUUGUAAUCAGCUGAUUGCAGGUUCGAGUCCUGUUUCUGGCACCA
rnacentral:tRNA from 1 species